UACGUAGGGUGCAAGCGUUGUCCGGAAUUAUUGGGCGUAAAGAGCUCGUAGGCGGUCUGUCGCGUCGGACGUGAAAAUCCAGGGCUCAACCCUGGACCUGCGUUCGAUACGGGCAGACUAGAGUUCGGUAGGGAGACUGGAAUUCCAGGUGUAGCGGUGAAAAUGCGUAGAUAUCUGGAGGAACACCGGUGGCGGAGGCGGCAUCCUGGACCGAUAUUGACGCUGAUGCGC
rnacentral:rRNA from 1 species